CUUUUGCUCCGACGCCGGCGAGCGAGACCGAGAGGCGAGGCGAGCCACCGCGGCGGCGGUUGCAGCGAUGGGGUCCAUGACGAUCGGUGCCAAGUACAAGACCACGAUCAAGGACCCCGGCACCCCGGGCAUCCUCCGCAUGAACGGUGAUAGGUUCACCUUCACCCCUAAUGAUCCACGAUCGGCAAUGAAGUUCAAUGUUGAUUUCCGAACCAUCAAAGGUCACAAGUUCAAUAAAGUAGAGGGUAACAAAGCAGCAUUAUUGAACCUUUCAAAAGAAGACAAGGCUGGAGGCUACAUAUUUGAGUUUGACAAUGUUGGUAACCGUGACCAAUGUCGAGACUUUGUAGCUAGGGUUUUAGGCAAACAUCAAGGGAUAGUGCCUCCUAGACCAACUGUGGCUCCUGAAAACUCAGUUGCUUCUGCUGCUCUGGAACAACUCAGUGCCGCAGAAGUGGAGAGACGGGUUAAACUGUUGCGAGAAGACAGCGAAUUGCAGAAAUUACAUAAGAAGUUUGUUCUUGGAAAUAUUCUGCAAGAAUCUGAAUUUUGGGCAACAAGAAAGAAUUUACUUGAUGAUGAAGCAAAUAAGAGAUCAAAACAAAAGCCAGGUUUCAAGAGUGCACUUGUAGAUAUUAGGCCAACAACUGAUGGUCGGACAAACAAGGUUACUUUCCAGAUCACACCUGAGAUGAUACAUCAGAUUUUUGCAGAAAAGCCUGCUGUCCGUAGAGCAUAUUUAGAUUUUGUUCCAAAAAAGAUGUCAGAAACCCGAUUUUGGGAAAAAUACUGUAGAGCUGAGUAUCUAGUCAGGACAAAAAACACUGCAGCAGCAACAGCUGAGGCAGCUGGAGAUGAGGAAUUAGCUAUCUUCCUGAAGAAUGAUGAUAUACUGGCCAAGGAGGCAAAGUUGAAGAUAAAACGAGUCGAUCCAACAUUAGACAUGGAGGCAGACACUGGAGAUGAUUACAUUCAUCUUCCGGACCAUGGGAUUCACCGUGAUGGUAGCAAAGAGACAGUCGAUGCUGACAGUGAGUUGGCGAGGAGGACGCUGUCUCAGGACCUGAACCGUCAUGCAGCUGUUGUUCUUGAAGGGAGAUCUCUUGAUGUUGAGUCAACUGAUCCAAAGACUUUAGCUGAAGCCCUUGCAAGAUCCAAGAAAGAACCACCUUCUACUUCUAAUGUUGAUGAUGAUAAUCAUGAGAGACUAAUGAAGGUGGCUAGAAUGACAGAGAUAGAGGAUCUGCAAGCUCCACGAAGUCUUCUGUAUGCACCACUUUGUAUAAAGGAUCCUAGAGAAUAUUUUGAUUCCCAACAAGCAAAUGCUCUGAGAUCUCUAGGUGGCAGCAAUGGUGGAAGAAAAGCCCAUAGUUGCAGCUUGAGCACUGAAGAAGUGUUCCAUCAUUUAAUGGAUCAAAUGUCUUCUGUUAAAGUUAAUAGGCUUAACUGUCCGAUUGUUCAGUCUGAUAUGGCUCUUAAGGAAAUCCUAACUACCUAAAUGGUAUGGGCCUAGGUUCUUAAUGAAUUAAACGAAGGGAUUUCUCGUUCAAGGAGACUUAACCUCAAGAAUCCUCAAGAAGGUCUCCUUGGUCAGCUGCCUCAACAUACACGGGACGAGCUUAUGGAUCAUUGGACGGCUAUCCAGGAAUUGCUACGCCAUUUUUGGUCAUCGUAUCCAAUAACAAGUGCAGUACUUUAUAACAAGGUUCAAAGAGUUAAAGAAGCUAUGACACAGAUAUAUCAAAAGCUGCAGCUUAUAAAGGAAUUGGCACAGCCUGAUGUAAGACAUGAAAUAUCUCGGCUAGUAAAGCCCAUGACUCAGGCCUUGGAUGCCGCCUUCAACCAUGAUUUGGAACAGCAGCAGAAAUCGUCCAAGGCCGGAAACAGGCACAACGGGUUUUGAGCCUAGGAGAUUGGUUUGACCAACACAUGAAGCGAGACGGACGGACGGGCUGUGCCCGAAUACACAAGAGCUGCUGCAGAAUUCUUGAGGCUUGUACGAUUUUGUUCUUUUCCCCCUCGCUUAUUAAUAGCUGCCGGAGGAGCCUGCUGUUUGCAGCCCCGGAAUCUUGAUCUAUGCAUCAAUUGUUUGUAACUGACUGAAUAGUGAAGACUCGCAACGCAUGAUGCUGCCGACGCGUUGUACUUGUACAUGGCAGUAAUGGCUAUUCGAGAUAGAACCAAAGCUUUACCAUUUUGUUUUAUGCGGUUCGUUCAUGGCCGCCGGGCAGAAUUAUACACAUGUAUGUCAUCUACAGCGUUACAAACAUACCAUUAUAUAUCACAGU